rnacentral:rRNA from 1 species
CAAGCCUAAGUACUCCUUACCGACCGAUAGUGAACUAGUACCGUGAGGGAAAGAUGAAAAGUACCCCGAUGAGGGGAGUGAAACAGUACCUGAAACCGGAUGCUUACAAGCUGAGGGAGCUCUUCGGAGUGACCUCGUACCUUUUGUAUAAUGGGUCAACGACUUAGUGUUGCAUGCAAGCUUAAACCGUUAGGUGUAGGCGUAGCGAAAGCGAGUCUGAAUAGGGCGACGAGUUCGAGGGAUAAGACCCGAAACCGAGUGAUCUAGCCAUGUGCAGGAUGAAGGUGGGGUAACACCCACUGGAGGUCCGAACCAGUGCCCGUUGAAAAGGUCUUGGAUGACGUGUGGCUAGGGGUGAAAGGCCAAUCAAACUCGGAUAUAGCUGGUUCUCCGCGAAAUCUAUUUAGGUAGAGCGUCGAUCGAAUACUCUUGGGGGUAGAGCACUGACUGGGCUAGGGGUCCUCACCGGAUUACCAAACCUUAUCAAACUCCGAAUACCAAGAAGUACUAAUCGGCAGACACACGGCGGGUGCUAACGUCCGUCGUGGAGAGGGAAACAACCCUGACCACCAAUUAAGGUCCCCAAAUAAUGGCUAAGUGUGAAAGGAUGUGGGAUUGCUUUGACAAUGAGGAGGUUGGCUUAGAAGCAGCCAUCCUUUAAAGAAAGCGUAACAGCUCACU